CCACGGAGACCCUGCAUCCCUAUUGGGAGGCAGCGCGACUAAAAACAACGCUGCCGUAUGCAAGUCAGGCAACUGGCAACACAAUCGAAUUGCGGGGACCUCCUAAAGCUUCACCUACCACCCUCCCUUGAAAAGGGGCAGCACGGUAAUAAUGUUGGAGAUGUUACAAUGGACGAUCUGCAGCGAAGACCCUACAGCAUAUGCCAUGGGUAGCGUUCACAGACUAAGUGAUUGUGGGUAGCGUGCUACU
rnacentral:misc_RNA from 1 species